UUCAUUUUUAAAUAAUUUUGGAAUAACUAAGGCCCCUUUUCAAAGAUUAUUAACACCUUGAUUACUACUGAGGAACCAGAAAAAUGUUUCUCAGAUUUGCCAAUGGGCAAAUGGUUUUGCUUUUCGAGGAAACUAUGAAUGCUUUCCCUAAAAGGGUGUGAGGAGACAAAACAAAAUAAAAUUAAAUGAAAGAUUGUUCAAACUUUCUGGGCUUUGGAAACCCAAAGGAAAAAGAUGAUAAAAAACUCAACAAAAAUACUUAGUGUAAUGCAUUGAGCCUUCCUUGAAGCUUCAUUAAAAUUAUAUCUAAAGCACCGAUUAUAAGAAAAUGAUUAAUAAUACAAUAACAUGGAGCAACUGUUCUGCAGAGCUGUUUGGAGUUGUGGGGUUUUCUAUCAACCCUCUGUUUUGUUCUCUGCUUCCAUCUAUGCAGGGAAGCAAAUGCCCGUCACCAUUUUUUAAUUUUUUUCUUCUCAUCAAGCAAUA